AUACGGAGGGGGCGAGCGUUAUUCGGAAUCACUGGGCGUAAAGCGUGCGUAGGCGGUUUAACAAGUCAGAAGUGAAAGCCCAGGGCUCAACCCUGGAACUGCUUUUGAAACUGUUAAACUAGAAUUCGGGAGAGGUCAGGAGAAUUCCUAGUGUAGAGGUGAAAUUCGUAGAUAUUAGGAGGAAUACCAGUGGCGUAGGCGCCUGACUGGACCGACAUUGACGCUGAGGUACGAAAGCGUGGGGAGCAAACAGGAUUAGAAACCCCAGUAGUCC
rnacentral:rRNA from 1 species